rnacentral:rRNA from 1 species
UACAGAGGGGGCAAGCGUUGUUCGGAAUUACUGGGCGUAAAGGGCGCGUAGGCGGUAGUACAAGUGAGAUGUGAAAUCCCCGGGCUUAACCUGGGAACUGCAUCUUAAACUGUACUGCUGGAGUACUGUAGAGGAUAGUGGAAUUUCCGGUGUAGCGGUGAAAUGCGUAGAGAUCGGAAGGAACAUCAGUGGCGAAGGCGACUGUCUGGACAGAUACUGACGCUGAGGCGCGAAAGCGUGGGGAGCAAACAGG